CCAGACUCCUACGGGAGGCAGCAGUGGGGGAUAUUGCACAAUGGGGGGAACCCUGAUGCAGCGACGCCGCGUGAGCGAUGAAGUAUUUCGGUAUGUAAAGCUCUAUCAGCAGGGAAGAAAAUGACGGUACCUGACUAAGAAGCCCCGGCUAACUACGUGCCAGCAGCCGCGGUAAUACGUAGGGGGCAAGCGUUAUCCGGAUUUACUGGGUGUAAAGGGGGCGCAGACGGCGAUGCAAGCCAGGAGUGAAGGCCCGGGGCCCAACCCCGGGACUGCUCUUGGAACUGCGUGGCUGGAGUGCAGGAGGGGCAGGCGGAAUUCCUGGUGUAGCGGUGAAAUGCGUAGAUAUCAGGAGGAACACCGGUGGCGAAGGCGGCUUUCUGGACUGAAACUGACGCUGAGGCUCGAAAGCGUGGGGAGCGAACAGGAUUAGAUACCCCGGUAA
rnacentral:rRNA from 1 species